ACUCAAAGGAAUUGACGGGGGCCCGCACAAGCAGUGGAGUAUGUGGUUUAAUUCGAAGCAACGCGAAGAACCUUACCAGGACUUGACAUACCAUUGACCGGUCUAGAGAUAGACCUUUCCUUCGGGACAAUGGAUACAGGUGGUGCAUGGUUGUCGUCAGCUCGUGUCGUGAGAUGUUGGGUUAAGUCCCGCAACGAGCGCAACCCCUGUUGUUAGUUGCCAUCAUUUAAGGUGGGCACUCUAGCAAGACUGCCGGUGACAAAUCGGAGGAAGGUGGGGACGACGUCAAAUCAUCAUGCCCCUUAUGUCCUGGGCUACACACGUACUACAAUGGCUAUUACAGCAGGAAGCAAUAUCGUAAGAUGGAGCAAAUCCUCAAAAAUAGUCCCAGUUCAGAUUGUGGGCUGAAACUCGCCCACAUGAAGUCGGAAUUGCUAGUAAUUGCAGGUCAGCAUACUGCAGUGAAUACGUUCCCGGGCCUUGCACACACCGCCCGU
rnacentral:rRNA from 1 species